AGGAUUAGGAUUUAGGAUCUAGGAUUAGAGUUUAAGGUUUACUUUUUGGGUUUAGGGUGUAUGACUUGAGUUUAGGGUAUAGAGUUUAGGUUUAUAGUCUUGUUUUUGGGUUUAGGGUAUAUAAUUUGGGUUUAGAGUCUAGGAUUAGGGUUUAGGAUUUGGGUUUAGGGGUUUGGAUUUGGGUUUAGAAUUUAGGGUAUAUGGUUUAGAAUUUAAGAUUUAGGGUUUAGGGUUUAGCUGUAAGCGUUAGCGUCGUUAAAAUUAGCGUUUUUAUUUUUUGUAG
rnacentral:lncRNA from 1 species